UCCAUCGAUCUCAAUUCUUCUCUUGAAUCUUCUGGUUGUCAUCUUUAGUUCCAAUGAGUUCGUGUUGCAUAUCUUGCUUUAAAUUUUGGGUAACCGGCCUUUUCAUCUCUAUUACCUGAUGGAACUUGCGGUAUUGCAUAGACAAGUGUGAUGACAUAUACGAGGUCUCGAAUUAUGGAGUUUGUGAGGUAAUUAUAGGGGGUGAUGUCGAGAAUUGGAGAGGAUUGUUGGGGUGGUCGAUGAUCUGCGAGUCGGGCCGAUGUGGGUACAAUGUGAUCACUCUCAGAAAUGAAAAUGGUGGACUGUGUGAAUGUGGAAUUGUUAAACCCUGAGCGUCUCAUAUGACUUUGAGCUUGUUGGCUGGUCAAAGUGGAUAGGAGAUCUGCAUCCUAAGAUUCCUCGAAACUGUCUUAAAUUUAUGGCGCUAUAUGCCAGGUUGAUGCUACUAUCAUAGCACCUAUGUGGGAGCUUUUGGGUGAUCAACCAAACAGAUGGACCAAAUGGAAAGCAAGAUUGAAUGUCCUAAGGGACCAUAGGAGGUUUUGGGGAGGCUGGCCUUUACGGACGGAUACGCAAGGGUGCCGCACGACUUAGACAAAAUCAGCUAAGUUCAUGAUAACUAGGAUUAAGAAGGUUCAACCGGUUGGUUAUUGGUUUAACUGCGAAACACUUGAGAGUCUAGAAGGUGUAACUUAACUUGGUCAGAUACCAGAUUCAGAUAAUUUUACUUCUUUUUGACUCUGAAUUAAUGCAAUCUAAGACUGGGAUAUAGGUUUCCGUUGGAAGCAAUGGAAUGAAGAAGACAAUGCUGAAAGUACUCCAUAUAUCUGACUUUUUAUCUGCGGUCAGAGAAAGGGACCUAGAAAGUCACUUGUCCAAGGGGAAGGUUGGUUUAAGCUUUUUUACUUUAUAAUUUUCUGUAAAGUGGUCUUCACAGCUCAAUUUGUUAGGUUGCUCGUUGUCAUCUAGUUGUUGAACUUCGUACAUGUGCCUCUUGUAGUUCUGCAUGUGACCAUGAAUACCGAUGAAGAUAUAGACUGUUUUAUCAAUUAUUUCAAUCACUCGAUUGUGAAAGGCCACAAAUGACAGUGAAAAAGGUAUGACUGCUUCACAGUCAUAACUGUUAACAGUGAAAAAGAUGAGUUCAUCAAUGUCUCAACUCAACUUGGACAUUUACUUAAUAAUGACCAGCCUCAAUUUUUCGAGGCAUCAGAUCAGUAUAACAUAGCAAAAAUUAAACUAAAUAACAGUAUCACCUUCAACUUUUACAACUAACCAACGAACACUGCCAGUUCAUAGUCCAUUGGACUUAAUAAUACCUCGGUUGUGGUAAUCGGUGAAGGCUACUUGCCAUGCCUUAAUAUUUGUGUUCUCUAAGUCUAAUAUUCUUCGGUAGAUGUUUUUUUGUCCCUUUGGUUAUUAGGCUGUGAUUCUUGCUGUUCUUCUCUGUUUUGUGGUCCUCAGCAACCUAUUCUCCACCAUUCUCCUUCUUCAUGUAUGGUGAGUUGCUCGAUUUGGGAGAAGGCAAAUCUAAAGAGACACUAUUUCCUGUUUCUUUUCAGUCGCAUUAAUCCUAGUCAUGACUUUAGAAGGUUUUGCGGUCUGUGAUGAUUAUGCGGUUGCUAUCGUUGAUCUUCGAGAAGUUGUUAUUGUGGUGAUGGCUGUGAAUACCUUCGAGGUCACCUUAUGAAAUUAGGUAAAGAAGAGAACAGUCUAGAUCACCUUGUUCUCCAGAUAGAAGCCGAGAGAAAGAGCAGACAAUAGGCCUCGGUCUGAUGGCUAUGAUAGGCAGCUUCUUGAUAUCAUUAUCGAUGGGAUGAUGCCAGUCUCCGAAAUCACAGAAUGAAACUGCUGAUGGAAUUUGAAAUUUAGAAAGGACAGCUACUUGCGGCCAUCUAUCGCUUGUCUGUUGGAACGCCGAGCGAUGGAGAGGAUGCCCGAGGACGACGCUUUGGCCAUUGUGGUCGGGUGCCUGCCAUGUGGUGCAGACCUUUCCGGUUCCUCCUGUGCCCCAUGCUGCGCGUCGUGGUAUGGCAUCUUCGUACCUCAACGUACCCUUCAUCCCAUACCCCGCUGCACCAAGCACUGGUUCUGAGGUGGGAGGAGAUAGAUAGCCCACAGGAAAUUAGAGCCAGUGAGAACCGUGUUGGUUGUAAGUUAGGCAGUAUGGUGGUACAUGAUAACUCAGUACUGUUGCACUGUGCAAUCUGAAAGUUUUCUUUUUCCCAGAGCGUUCUUGGACAUUGAGGCUGGGGUGGCAUACGCUAGAUGCCACUGUGACUGGCCCUUGUACCUGCAGGACCUCGUGAAGGUUUGGCACAAGCAAAAUGGAGUUCGUACCCAUCACUUCAGGAUUGCAAGACCACAGCAAGGAUGAGAAGAGGUACCGUCCUAUUACAGUUCUGUGAAAUUUUUUUCUCAUGCCAAAUGCUUUAAAGCAUCUCAGCCAAUGCUUAAGAUCAGCUUAAAGCCAUGGUCAUAUACUGAUGGACUGGAUUCGUCAGUAAAUGAGAGAGAAAAAGAGUCCUGUGGCAAGGUAUGGAAUUCAUUGAUUCCCGGACAGGAGUCACAGGUGUCUGUUUGAGUUGUGUCCAGGACUGAGGACUGUGGCCGUAAUCUGAUCUUCCUUGAGUUA